GGUUGAUCUUAUCAUUGCAGCACAGACGCUAAAAAGGGGACCGGCAUCAAAUCUACUUCCCUCAUACUGAAAGCUGGCAGGACUGAUUCAUCCUCUUUUGUUUUGCUUAGGAGGUUAGUACAGUACGUCACAUGCAUUUGAAUAAAAUCAAUGAAAGAAGAUAUUUUGGACAGAAACUGCACAAUUGAAAAAAAACAAACUGAAACACCUCUCUUACAAUAAAAGCACAAAUGAAAUUCAUGUUUUCACAUGUGAAAACAUGUAAAAUAUAAAGAGUUCUGAUCAUUGUAUGACACUACAGCUGCAAUGAUUAGUCGAUAAAUCAAUUAGUCAAUGUAAAGAAAAUUAAUCAAGUGUUUCAGUAAUUUUUCAAGCAAAAAUGCUAAACAUUUGUGGUUUACUUUUACAUAGAAAAGCUGGAACCAGCAAACCUAUAAAUCAGGAACUAAUGCUACUCGUGUUCUUUCUCCUUUAUGUUCAUGAAUCAGUAGUCGUAUUGUUUAACACAUCGCAAAACUAAAAGGAAGUGAACUCUCGCUAGUGUUCAGAAACAACAUACAUACUUUCAUGCCAAUGGACAUCUAAAAGGCAAUCUUGUAAAUGACUGGUUGCUUUUGGAACUUUGAACCAUUUCAGUCAGAAAUGUGGGGCUAAAUAAAGCAGGAAAAACAUAUGGAUGUGGAGUUCCAUCUGAAUGAGGAAUCAGAGAGGGGGCAGUGAGGAGGAAAGAGAGGGAGGGGGGCAGCACGUGAUGAGGUCCUGAACUAACAUGACUUACAGUGGCAGAAAAACACCCACUCAUUUGUAAUAAGCACCAAAACCACACACAGAGAGAGAGAGUUGGCCUGACACAGUGGCAUGCACAUGAAUGCGUGUGUUUAAACUCUAUUAACAGUGCAGGUAAUGUGGUGUGUAUUAUGACCACUAUAUGACACCUGAGUUUAUUGUUGGUAUGUGUUAUGCAACAAAUUAACACCUCAGGCUUAAGGAAAAAAAGCCUUUUAUUGACGAUGUGUUAUUCUGCACUGCACUAUUGUUGAGACACAAUAAUGGGUGUAUCCAUUUGCCUCGCAUGAUGAUGACGACAAUGACUAUGAUGAUAGAAUUCCUGGUAGUGAUCAGCUCUUAUCAGAUGCGGGUGUUUCCAUUUGCCAAUUUGUGGAGCAUUGUGAUCUUUCUGCCUUUUAACAGCUCUCUCCUGGUGCAAGGAUGUGCCUGAUAAGGACUCCAUUAGCUGCUCUGUGUCCUUUGUGUAUGUGUAUAACUUAUCCUGACCCACCUCAGGAAGCUGAUGUUGUCAUAUUCAAUAAAACCUUAAGCUUUCAUAUUUAAUGCCUGUUUGUUUUUUUCCUUUGGCACUCCACGGCAGAUUCUGUACACUGGUAAAAUCAAUAAAUCAUUCCCAAAUGCUGAGAAGUGAUUUAAUAAAUGGUAAAUGGUACUCUUGAAAUGGUACUCUUGGUUACCAGUGGCCUCAAUCAAUCAUGAAGUUAUAACACAGAAAACAAUGUCACAACAUGGUUUAUUUUGGAAUGUCUCAAAUACAGACGUUUCAUUUAGUAUAACUAAUAAUAUUUCUGUGCUUUAAGUGUUGGGACUAAAACUGAAAUGGUUCUUCUGGUUGAACAAACAUGUUUCAAGUCGCCUGUUUUAGAUCAGCAGAGAAGCUGGGGGGGGGUACUCAUGCUUUAAAGCUUAAGUAAAAUAUUAAAAUUAAUCUCUAAAUCUGUUCUUAAUCCUGCUUGUAAUACAUGCAAUGUUUGCCAAAUUUACUGCAAUGGGGACACAUGCAGAAUAAUGAUUGUCAACCAAAUUCAUUCUGACAUGGACAAAAGACUGAUUACCUUCUUUUACUCUGUAAAUAUUAUUAACACUGAAAUGGUAUUAACUCAGAAAGUGAUCAACUGACAUAUUUCAAUUGUAAGGCUCAAGUGCUUCCUUUCUCUUGAUCAAUCAUGUGAAAGGAGCAGUGUGGGCGGUGUCAGCACACCUCCAGCUUUGUAUCCUAGUUUUUCUCUCGUUUAAAAACAGGUGAAGUUGGCUUUUACAAUAUUGGAAAUGACUGGCCUGCUGAUGGAGCUCUGUGGCGCCUGCAUGUGUGUUCACUGAAGGCCCACGUUGUUGUAAUAAGCAGAAGGCAGGUGGGUCUGGUUGGUCAGGUGCCUGCGUGCAGUUCUUUAAGAAGUCACGUGAUCUGACGCAAAGCAGGUUAUUCUGGUUUUCCACAACAUGCUCAAAAGAAGCUGAAGUACCCGCAGCACACCUCUGCAAAAUGGGUGGGCCGAUCACGCAAAGAAGGGGAUAAAAGGUUAUCGGAUGUCUUGUAAGAUGAGCCUUGAGAUAACAAAAACUUCUCUCUCACAGGAACCAACAAGUAGUCUCACCAUGUUCCAAUAAUAUGAGUUUAGUUAGCAUUCAAGCUACUGAAAAGAAUUGUGUUCACUAAAAAUUGCAAUCAAGUGACUGUAGGAACACCUAAUGAAUAAAAAUUACAUACAAGAUACUAUCUUACAUCUUUACAUCUUUAGUAGGUCAUUUGUCCCAAUUUUAGAUUUUAUAACCAAAAUUACAGAACAAAUGGAAAAUAAAUCAUUGACAACCACUUUUUAAAUGACCUAGUAACACAAUUGUGGCUCAUUCCACUCAAAUAUAGGUUAGUAAUCAGUUACCCAGCCAAGGGGGGGACAGGCCUAUAUCAUGUGGCACAGCAUGUAUAAUCAACAAUCAAUGAGGACCACCACAGCUAGAGAAAAAGGGAGAAAAUGAUAAUUGGUUAUUGAUGUGGUUUUAAAUAAGAACAAAUGGCCCCAGAGAUAUGACCCUCCUGAUACUGGGAUUGUUUGGUUUCUUGUGAGGGUUUCCACCGACUAAAUCUGGCAAAGAUGGAAUUCCAUUUAGGCUUCAGCCCUAGCCAUGGACUCCGCUCUGCUAAAGAGGGGGUCAAAUACACAAGGACCUAUUGUUUGCUGAAGAUGAGGGUAGCCUCCACUCCACUCCACCCCCAUCACAUCAUCACUGCAGAGUAUUCAACAGUGAACACACACACAGAGACAGAGAGUGAGAGAGACAGAGACACAGAGAGAGAGAAAAAAAAUGGAGAGAGGACAGAGAACGAAGGAGAGAGAAAGGCAUCACUUCUCCCUCUCAUCUAGUUCUUUUACAGUCUUGCCAAUCUAAAUGCCAGGACAGCUUAGCCCCGAGCCAAGCCAGUGUUUUCAAAGAUCACACAAGCCCAUGAGAUCUGGAGGCAUCCCGUAAAGAUGCUCCAUAAACUGUCUGAUGAUUAUUUUUAAACAGAGAGACAAAAAGAAAUAGAGUGACGUAGGCACAGUGUGAAUGGUUGAGAUAACAAUACUGAAUCCAUGAAGAAAACUCCAGACAGACAAAAUGUCUCUGUUUCUGUCCUUUGAAACAUCCUCUAGUGGCACACAGCAUAAAUAAACUAGACUCAUCUCUCUAUCUGUGCACUCCUGACGCCCUCUAUCAAUCUUACCACUCUGAACCCCAUUUAGGGCAAAGCUUAAAAAAACAACAAAAAAAACAAAACUUCUAACCUUCUUUGAGUCAGUGUUACAGUAGCAGAAAGAGCAUACUGGCAGCUACCCUAUGCUGCUGAGAGAUUUAGAGGAGUGGCCAUACUGGCCUGGGAUAUUUAAGACGGUUGCCAUGCUGGCAGGUCUCUUUGAGCCCUUUGUGCUCCCCUCUCAGCUCCUUUGGCUGGGCAGGGAGGUUGACACCUGCUUGGGGCCUUGGGGUUCCCAGCACUCUGCUGUUCACUGGGCACAGACGCUGGCAGGCUGCCCACUGAGGACAGGGGACAGAGAGGGGGAAACUGGAGCUCUGCCUAUCGGUGCACAAGCACUUCAAAUGUGUUAGUGAGUAUGAAAGAGAAAAAUAUAUUAACCUUUAUCUGAGAAGUGCGUUUAUGUCUUUAUGCAACACAAAUUAUUAGGGGUGUGCCAACCAUUUCAUUUUGAUUGAUCAUAAAAAUCACUGUAUAACCAGAUUUAAACACUGGGUGGGGGGUUCACAGCGACAUACUUUUUGAUUAUUGUUUUUCCCUUCGGCACACACAGUUAGCUAAAUAAGCAUGACCACAAUGACUGCUGAAUUACUAAGGCAGCCUAUUACAACUACACUCUUACCUAAUUAGUAAUUUCUGUAAAAAGCCAGUUAUAAUGGAAAGGAAGAAGGUUUGUUUGCACUUCUUACUCAAGGCUGAGCAGUGUCCUUGUAAAUUACAAAAUUAUAAAGAGAUAGAGUGGUGUCUUCACAGCAAACAAUCUGUUUAAGGUCAACAGGUGUACAAGACGUAUCUUUUGAUUCCAAGCAGGUGUUGGAAAUAUAAAGAAGGAUGACAAUCUGACAAUCUGAGUUGUAUAACCCACCCCCUUCAUGUUCAUUACUGUAAAUGAGGAGGCCCUGGUGGAAAAUAUACAACUGGAUUUUCUGGAAAGUAUGUGCUGUAAGAAACUGGUCAAGAAACUGGUUAGAGGUGGCAGGGUCUGCCCUGAAUGUGCACUUGACUCUUACAGCAGCGUUGAUUGCUCUCCUCUGUUUGUUUGAUGAGUUCUUUACACAUUCCCACCUGGUUGUGACUGAUUGAGCCAUUUGCCUUUACUGUUCCCACCUUGUAGAAAAUCUAGUGUUUUUUUUCUUUCCCAAACAUUGAAGUAAACAUAUCACCUGAACACCUAAUCAGUGUCAUCUCCUGAGCAGAGUCAACCAGAUCCAAACAUAUCUCAUGAUCAAUUUAAAUCAAGUAACUGAUGGAGGAAUCACAGAAUUUUAUAAAUGACAUUGACAAAGAAAUUGUAUUUAAUGUGAAUUAUCAUGUAAUUGCAGAUACCAGACCUGUUUAAUCAGAUUACCCAUAGUUACACUGUAGGCUACGCCAUAGUACAUAGAUGUGCACUUUCUCAAAAAUAUAACUAUACGUCGGUACUACAGUGGCUACGGAUAUACCACGUGGUGACUGCAAGAACUGUGAUUGGCUGCUUGUGUUUUCUCCUAAAAGUUGCUGAUGCUGGUGGAGAUUACUGAGAGCAAAGACAACAUAAUGGAAGUUGAAAAAAGGCUCAGUAAUCUUCUACUUUUCAGUAACAUAUCUAGCCAUUUCCACUGCAACCCAGGAUCUCUAUAACAGUUAGUAAAACAAUGUAAAUACAGUGACUGCACAGAACAGUCUCAUUCAGUAAUGAAACAAGGCGUACCUUCCCACCGAAUAUAACUGAAGCACAAUACGGUCUAAUCAUAUACAAUUCAUACAUUUAGUGUUGGCAGUGGUACUAUCAGUGGGAGAAAACCAACCCCUUGUAUGCGGCUUAAGUGGGGAUUCCGAAUGAAAAUAGAUGCCAGAUGGGUUGCAUUGCAGCAAAAGUUAAACCUGGUUCAACUUUUUUGCCGGAUGACCCUGUGUUGUUUUGCUGGAGCCCCUUGCGUUGGCACCUCCGCUACUUUCGACGGACUGGCUUCAUUCAAGUGAAUGGAGGGCGGAACGUGGCCUAACAGUCAUUUGAUUUUGUUUGUGGUGAUUGCCAUCUGUUAAAGAGCUAAUAAGCAAAUAGUUAUACUUAAAGCGGACUGAAGCUGUAUUAACUAAAUCAACCGUACCUGACUCAAAGAGAAUCUAAUUCUCUGAGGAAAUGGCUGGAUGACACGUAAGACCACAGUGGCUUCACCACUUGCCACUUAAUUUCCAAUGCGGCAGAGUGCAAAAAAGAAGCUCCACAUCCUGUGAGCAGAGAAUAUGGUGAGGAGACAGGGUGUGAUGGAGGGUGAUGCGAGGGAGUUGGACAUUCAGUGCCUGCCAACAACUCCAACCCCUCACUUCUUUUCCCUCUUCUGGCUCUCUUUUCCAUGUACUCACUCAUAAUCAGCAUCAAUGCACAGAGAUGCUCUUCUUCCUUUUGCUGCAGCAUGCCAAGAGGCUGCUACUCUCUUUUUUUUGUGUCUGUUGCUAUAAUACCAAUGGGUCUAACCGCACAUAAACUGUGUAAUGGGAAAUGUAAAAAAAAGUAGUUGGUUUUGUGGAAAGAAUGUCUCUUUUAGCAGUUAAGUAUGACAUUUCCAUGCUGAGCUGCACACUAACUUUGCUCUAAGUUGUUCACCUUCCUCUUAGUGAAAAUAACUUCUGCUGCUUCACACAUACUUCACUGUAAUAUAUCUAUAUCCUAUUGUCAAUUAAUCACUAAGGAGGAGGAAUUGUUCUUUUGUGUGACUACAGCUGUUUCUUAGGCUUCAUCCACACUACUACAUUUUUGUUUUAAAAUGCAUGAGUUUUGCUACAUUUACACAUAGCAUCCACACUACUGCGGCGUUUUCGAGCCCCGAAAAAGGAUAAGGUUGGAAACGUAGUUGACCCCAUUUUUGUUUGAGAACUCCGGGAUUGCAAUUUAGUCUGGACGGGCAAAAACGGAGGCUUAUGGAAAUAAGUCAGUCACUACGUGUCCUUCCAUGAUUCGGCACAUCCCCAUCAUGUGUCCCUUUUCCGGAAGAAAACAAACAAACAAACAAACAAACAUCAGCCUCGACGACCAGUUGCUCAUUCAACGUGGAUAACGAAUUACAGCCGUUGUCUAUGCCUCGUCGUCGGUCCAAGCAAAGAAAUCUCUGGUCUUACUUUUCGCCAUUGCUGUUCUUCGUUCACAGUAUUUACUACAAAUGCGUUUUCAGACGUGUUAGUAUGGAUGAGAUUAUUUCUGAAACGGCUGAAACGCUCGUCUGGACGGAAACGUAGUAGUGUGGAUGUAGCCUUAGACAUUAGACCAACCUGUAACCAUCGCAUGUCAUGUAUACUAUCUUUCCUCUGUCCUUCUGUUACAUUAUACAGUGUUGUUCGUACGAUUCAUUCAUCUAUAUCCUAUAUCACAAUUUGUGUCAGCACGCCUUGCUGAGACGAGCAAUGACAAAACUACAAUCAAUUGCCAGUUUAUUAUUAGGUACACCUAGCUAAAAAAAGAAUGCAGUCUAAUACAACAGUUCUGCAAUAAAUCCGACCUUCAUGUCAUCACCUUCACCCCAUUCAGCCAGUUCUUUUACAGUUUCUUUUAACGGUGAGGGAAGGCUAAAUAACACAAACACCUCUCUAUAUAACAAUACAGGUCAAUAACAGGACUGUUUUAUUAGAAUGCAUUAGUGGAGGUGAAUCAACACCUCUCAAAUAGUUUCAACAAAAACUGAAAACUAUAACAUUCAUGAAGGUAAGACAGAUAGGAUUAGACUGCAUUAGUUUUAGCUAAGUGCACCAAAUAAACUUGCAACUGAGUUGCAUAUACCACAUUUUCUUAGUUGACUGCUGACUUAAUCAACAGAACCAUGUACAGCACCCACCCAGCUGUGAGAAUGGUGAUAACACAGCACUGACAGUUUAUGCUAAUCAGGGUGCUUUGCUGAAGGUUUGCUAAUAAAAAUAUAUAGUUUGACAUUAUAACUGGUAGUAUGAUCACGUGACUGUCAGUGGAUAAUGAUAAUGAUGAAAGUUCACCGGUUCCAGCUUCUCAAAUACACACAAAGAAAACAAAACAAAACACAAGAACAAAUACACGACACAACGAGUCCCUGCCUCUCGCCGUCCACUGACAGCAUCAAUGGACCACUGGGGGAAGAUGACAGCUGCGUAAGAUUGAUGAGCCGUAGGCCAAAGGGUGCAUCGCCAUCGACAUCCUUAGGAAGCACUUUGACUUGGCUUCCCUCGGCUCCCACAAAACCCUGUGACAGCUGAUACAGAGUUUUUAACUAUGCACCCACGAAUCCCAAUGACACCAAGCCUUCACAUGUCUCAAUUCAGGAUGUCCUGAGUGGGUGUCGAGCCUGGGUGCAAGCCCGGUCAUGCCCCAAACCACGCCCUUGGUGACACCGCGGUCUGGGGAGGGGACAGAGAGGAAGUGGAGAUGUCAUGGGUCUGGGGUUUUUUUUUUUUUUUUUUUUUAAAUUGAUGAGUGGACUUGAAUGAGGACCAGGCAAAGCUGGCCUUUUGAAGACUCUUCAAGCCAGAACAAAUUUA